rnacentral:rRNA from 1 species
GAUGAACGCUGGCGGCGUGCUUAACACAUGCAAGUCGAACGAAGCCUUUGCGACAGUUUCUUUCGGAAUGAAGUUGCUUAUGACUGAGUGGCGGACGGGUGAGUAACGCGUGGGUAACCUGCUUUGUACUGGGGGAUAUCAGCUGUACACGGCAGGUAAUACCGCAUAAGCGGACAAAGUUGCAUGCCAUGUGGUGAAAAAGUCGGGUGGUAUAAGAUGGACCCGCGUCUGAUUAGCUAGUUGGCGAGAUUACAGCCCAUCAAGGCGACGAGCAGUAGCCGAGCAGUGAGGCUGACCCGAGACAUUGGGACUGAGCAGCAGCCGAGAAUACUGCGGGAGGCAGCAGUGGCGGAUAUUGCACAAUCGAGGGAACGCAGAUGGAGCGAGGCCGGGUGAGUGAAGAAGGUAGUCGUGAUGGAAAGCACUAUCAGCAGGGAAGUUAGUGACGGUACCUGAAGAAGAAGCUCCGGCUAACUACGUG